GACGAACGCUGGCGGCGUGCUUAACACAUGCAAGUCGAACGGAGUGCCCAUGACAGAGGUUUCGGCCAAUUGAUUGGGUUACUUAGUGGCGGACUGGUGAGUAACGCGUGAGGAACCUGCCUUUCAGAGGGGGACAACAGUUGGAAACGACUGCUAAUACCGCAUGAUACAUUGUUGGGGCAUCCCGAUGAUGUCAAAGAUUUAUCGCUGAAAGAUGGCCUCGCGUCUGAUUAGAUAGUUGGCGGGGUAAACGGCCCACCAAGUCGACGAUCGGUAGGGGUUCUGAGAGGAAGGUCCCCCCACAUUGGGAACUGAGACACGGUCCAAACUCCUACGGGGAGGCAGCAGU
rnacentral:rRNA from 1 species